AGGAGGUACAUUUCCCCACUUUUCUCAAAAACUAUUGGUCCUAAAGACAUCAAUCAAAGUGUGGACUGUAUAAUGGGUAUUCCCCCAGAGAAUGAUCACACAAACAUGCUUGUUUGUCUUUCAAUAACGGAGGAGUGGUCGCUGGCGUGCGGCGAAUAGCGAAAAGUGUACGGAACAUGGCUGAGCUGGAUGCUGAAUACAAAAGAGUGAGCCUCAACACUUAAGGUUUGUGCUGAGUUUCACCAUAUCAGAGAAAGUGGCACACACCAGCAAGAUUUCACAGAAGUUGCAUGACAUUUGAAAUGUUUGAUCUUCAGGUGAGUGCAAAUUCACAAAC